UCAGCUUACCCUGUGAAGGACUUAUAGUAAGCAAAAUUGGCACAGCCUUAAACGCCAGGUCGAGGUGUAGCGUAUGGAAGGGGAAGAAAUGGGCUACAUUCUCUAACACAGAGAAAACGAAUGAUGUACUGAAAUACACAUCUGAAGGAGGAUUUAGCAGUAAGCAGGAAAUAGAGUGUCCCGCUGAAAUUGGCCCUGAAGCGCGCACACACCGCCCGUCACUCUCCCCAAACUAAUUGAACUCAAUUAAAUAAAACCCCAUCACAGUGAAGGGGAGGCAAGUCGUAACAUGGUAAGUGUACCGGAAGGUGCACUUGGAAAAAU
rnacentral:rRNA from 1 species